CUGGUGGCGGAAUUGGUAGACGCGUCAGACUUAAAAUCUGGUGGCCGCAAGGCCGUGGGGGUUCGAGUCCCCCCCUGCCC
rnacentral:tRNA from 1 species